rnacentral:rRNA from 1 species
GAUGAACGCUGGCGGCGUGCCUAAUACAUGCAAGUCGAGCGAACGGACGAGAAGCUUGCUUCUCUGAUGUUAGCGGCCGACGGGUGAGUAACACGUGGAUAACCUACCUAUAAGACUGGGAUAACUUCGGGAAACCGUAGCUAAUACCGGAUAAUAUUUUGAACCGCAUGGUUCAAAAGUGAAAGACGGUCUUGCUGUCACUUAUAGAUGGAUCCGCGCUGCAUUAGCUAGUUGGUAAGGUAACGGCUUACCAAGGCAACGAUGCAUAGCCGACCUGAGAGGGUGAUCGGCCACACUGGAACUGAGACACGGUCCAGACUCCUACGGGAGGCAGCAGUAGGGAAUCUUCCGCAAUGGGCGAAAGCCUGACGGAGCAACGCCGCGUGAGUGAUGAAGGUCUUCGGAUCGUAAAACUCUGUUAUUAGGGAAGAACAUAUGUGUAAGUAACUGUGCACAUCUUGACGGUACCUAAUCAGAAAGCCACGGCUAACUACGUGC